CAACACAUGCCGAUGAAACUGUUAAUUACGCAUAGUUCACGCUGAAAGCGUGAUUCGCUCUUGAUGUCAACCAAACAUCGUCUUUCGCUCCUAUCUGAUUUUUCUU
rnacentral:snoRNA from 1 species